rnacentral:rRNA from 1 species
AUGACACUUGAAGAUAUGGACGCUGCAAAUCUGCGCCGACCUCCUCUACGUGAUAUCUCUAAUGUUGACCAUCAUUCUCAUAUGUCUCCAGUGCCAGUAGUGAGCUCGGAAAACUUAACUCCGUUUGGAUCCCGAUGGGAACGGAUAAAUCUUGCUAAACAACUACGAGCGCGCAAGAGAACUGGGCAGAUGGACGCGAGAAAUGACCAAAGUCGGCAUCUUCAUGACAUCACUAAUAUUGAUCAACUCUCCAAAGGGAGUCCAGGGAUUGUUCAACAAGAUCAUGGCCCACAUAGAUCAACUGGCCUAUUCAUACAUGAAGCAACAAUCCCUUCUACCACCAACAUGACACCCUUAAAUGAUGCCAGCAUUUGUACCCUGAUAAAUCUCACAGAUUCUUCGAGGGGUAAAUCAGAUAACUAA